AGGCAUUCUUCAGCUACAGGCGACAGCGAUAUGACCACAUUAAUAACAAUGUCUAGGUUUUGGAACUCAAAUGUGUUUCUGUGGACCUCCUCAAAACCCAGACUGACUCUCUGGACCAGCACAUAUAUGGAGACAGAGCCAUAACUUUCAGAUAUGGAUGGAUAUAAUAUCUCAAACCGGUGUUGAGUUUAUGACAUGCCCACCAAUGAGGGGCCGACAUCUGUGAUAGGACCCAGAACGUGAAGACUACAAUGAAGAAGGUUUGAAAUGAAGUACACUAGAAAUGAUCAAAGAAGUGGACAUCUUGGGUUACAGCUCAAAAUAAUUAUAACAGGUAUGCAUAUGCAUAUUAUUAAAGUAUUUGGAAAAUAUAAGCAUUACUUACAAUUAAAGCCUGGAGUUUACCCUGGGAAAAGUAAAUAAUACAUAUGCAUAAAAGUGAUGCACAUGUGUAAAUCUAAAAAUAACUUUUGUGAAGACCAAUUAAAUAAAUCAGCUUUUUUAUGUUUUUAAGUUUAAAGCAGUUUUUUGUUAUUAAUUAUAUGUUCUUUUAUGAUAUACAAUAUUAUGUAAAUAAAAUGUUUAUCUUGUAUAUAUAUUAGUAUUUUGUAAUUAUAUUAUAUUAAUCUCCAUUAUUGCAGUGUCACGUGCUAAUAAAACUAUUAAAAACA